rnacentral:rRNA from 1 species
UACAGAGGUCUCAAGCGUUGUUCGGAUUCAUUGGGCGUAAAGGGUGCGUAGGCGGCGCGGUAAGUCGGGUGUGAAAUCUCGGGGCUCAACCUCGAAACUGCACUUGAUACUGCGGUGCUUGAGGACUGGAGAGGAGACUGGAAUUCAUGGUGUAGCAGUGAAAUGCGUAGAGAUCAUGAGGAAGACCAGUGGCGAAGGCGGGUCUCUGGACAGUUCCUGACACUGAGACACGAAGGCCAGGGGAGCAAACGGG